rnacentral:sRNA from 12 species
UCCUGACUGAUGUUUCAUGUGGAACAUUAGACACUAGCCAAGACAGGAGAUAAUAAUG